rnacentral:snoRNA from 1 species
AGCCUGGUAAUUUAUUUAGCUUGUCAGCUGUUAUAUGAUGAAACUUUGGGCCUGAUGGCAUGUCUCCGUAUUUCACAUGUUGAUAGGAGCAUGGGGACCGCUUCUCUAUCUGGUCACAGAGCCAGUCUCUGUGAUUUAAUUC